AGAGUUUGAUCAUGGCUUAAGAUGAACGCCUGGCGGCGUUGCCAACACAUGCAAGUUCGAGCGGCAGCCAAGGGGGCCUGCACCUCUGUUCGGCGAGCGGCGGACGGCUGAGUAACGCGUGGGAACGUGCCCCAAAGUGAGGAAAUAACUGCCCGAAAGGGUAGCUAAUACCGCAUAUUAUCUUCGGAUUCAAAGGAUUUAUCCGCUUUGGGAGCGGCCCGCGUCGGAUUAGGUAGUUGGUGAGGUAAUGGCUCACCAAGCCGACGAUUCCGUAGCUGGUCUGAGAGGAUGACCAGCCAGACUGGAACUGAGACACGGUCCAGACUCCUACGGGAGGCAGCAGUGAGGAAUCUUCCACAAUGGGCGAAAGCCUGAUGGAGCAACGCCGCGUGCAGGACGAAGGCCUUCGGGUUGUAAACUGCUUUUAUAAGUGAGGAAUAUGACGGUAACUUAUGAAUAAGGAUCGGCUAACUACGUGCCAGCAGCCGCGGUCAUACGUAGGAUCCGAGCGUUAUCCGGAGUGACUGGGCGUAAAGAGUUGCGUAGGCGGUUGUAUAAGUGAAUAGUGAAAUCUGGUGGCUCAACCAUACAGGCUAUUGUUCAAACUGUACAACUUGAGAGUGGUAGAGGUCACUGGAAUUUCUUGUGUAGGAGUGAAAUCCGUAGAUAUAAGAAGGAACACCAAUGGCGUAGGCAGGUGACUGGACCAUUUCUGACGCUAAGGCACGAAAGCGUGGGGAGCGAACCGGAUUAGAUACCCGGGUAGUCCACGCCGUAAACGAUGGAUACUGGCUGUUGGAGGUAUCGACCCCUUCAGUAGCGAAGCUAACGCGUUAAGUAUCCCGCCUGUGGAGUACGGCCGCAAGGCUAAAACAUAAAGGAAUUGACGGGGACCCGCACAAGCGGUGGAUCGUGUUCUUUAAUUCGAUGCUAAACGAAGAACCUUACCAGGGCUUGACAUCCAGGGAAUUUUUGGGAAACCAAUUAGUGCCGUUUGGAACCCUGUGACAGGUGAUGCAUGGCCGUCGUCAGCUCGUGUCGUGAGAUGUUUGGUUAAGUCCAUCAACGAGCGCAACCCUUGUGUCUAGUUGUAUUUUUCUAGACAGACUGCUUCGGUAACGGAGAGGAAGGAGGGGAUGAUGUCAGGUCAGUAUUUCCCUUACGUCCUGGGCUAGAAACACGAUACAAUGGCUAGUACAAUGCGCAGCGAAGCCGCGAGGUGAAGCAAAUCGCAUCAAAGCUAGUCCCAGUUCGGAUUGGAGGCUGAAACUCGCCUCCAUGAAGUCGGAAUCGCUAGUAAUCGCAAAUCAGCAAGUUGCGGGGAAUACGUUCCCGGGUCUUGCACACACCGCCCGUCA
rnacentral:rRNA from 1 species